GACGAACGCUGGCGGCGUGCUUAACACAUGCAAGUCGAGCGGUAAGGCCCUUUCGGGGGUACGACGAGCGGCGAACGGGUAGAGUAACAACGUGGGUGGACCUCGCCCUCCAGCUCUGGGAGUAAGCCCGGGAAACCGUAGGGUCGUAAUACCGGAUAUGACUCCAUGACGCAUGUUGUGGGGUGGAAAGCCUUGUGCGGCUGAGGAUGGGCCCGGCGGCCUAUCAGCUUGUUGGUGGGGUGAUGGCCUACCAAGGCGACGACGGGUAGCCGGCCUGAGAGGGCGACCGGCCACACUGGGACUGAGAUACGGCCCAGACUCCUACGGGAGGCAGCAGUGGGGAAUCUUGCGCAAUGGGCGAAAGCCUGACGCAGCGACGCCGCGUGAGGGAUGACGGCCUGUG
rnacentral:rRNA from 1 species